rnacentral:rRNA from 1 species
AGAUUGAACGCUGGCGGCAUGCCUUACACAUGCAAGUCGAACGGCAGCACGGGAGCAAUCCUGGUGGCGAGUGGCGAACGGGUGAGUAAUACAUCGGAACGUGCCCAUUCGUGGGGGAUAACGCAGCGAAAGCUGUGCUAAUACCGCAUAAGAUCUACGGAUGAAAGCAGGGGAUCGCAAGACCUUGCGCGAAUGGAGCGGCCGAUGGCAGAUUAGGUAGUUGGUGAGGUAAAGGCUCACCAAGCCUUCGAUCUGUAGCUGGUCUGAGAGGACGACCAGCCACACUGGGACUGAGACACGGCCCAGACUCCUACGGGAGGCAGCAGUGGGGGAAUAGUUGCACAAUGGGCGCAAGCCUGAUGCAG